rnacentral:rRNA from 1 species
GAUAAAACACCUAAAUCUUACUUAAAUUUGUUAGGUCAAUUUGUAUACCACUAUUAAAUUAAUUAAUAAUUUUAAUUUAUAAAAUUUAUAUAAAUUUAAAAAAAAUUAAGUCAAGGUGCAGUAAAAAUUUAAGAAUGAAGUGAAUUACAAUUCUCUUAAGAGAUUAUUUAAAUUAAAAUUUUAAUUUAGGAUUUGAAAGUAAAAUUAAAAUAGAAUGUUAAUUUGAAUAAAGCUCUAAAAUAUGKACAUAUCGCCCGUCA